AUAUCGAUACACAAAUCAAAAAAUACUCAUGAAAUUUUGUAGUUUAAAAAAAAAAAGAGUAGUAUCAAAUAACUAUAAAAGUUUUAUGUGUCCCAGAGUAUUUGUCAUGUCAUAGACAAUCACGACGAAACAACUUAACCUUUAUGCUUGAAAAUCGCGAGGUAAUUCGUAAAUGCUACAGUCACAAUCAGUGUUAUUACACAAUCUUUUGAAGGUGACAAAGUCAAGCGGGCGGUGGAAUCAAUUUCACCAAAUAGAGGACAAUCCCAAAAACGAAGCUACAUCAACUAUCAUACUGUUUUCCAACAGAAAGAACAAGGUGCAUCUUCCAUG
rnacentral:lncRNA from 1 species